GAUGAACGCUGGCGGCGUGCUUAACUCAUGCAAGUCGAACGAUGAAGCCCAGCUUGCUGGGUGGAUUAGUGGCGAACGGGUGAGUAACACGUGAGUAACCUGCCCUUGACUCUGGGAUAAGCCUGGGAAACUGGGUCUAAUACUGGAUAUGACUUCUCAUCGCAUGGUGGGGGGUGGAAAGAUUUAUUGGUCUUGGAUGGACUCGCGGCCUAUCAGCUUGUUGGUGAGGUAAUGGCUCACCAAGGCGACGACGGGUAGCCGGCCUGAGAGGGUGACCGGCCACACUGGGACUGAGACACCGCCCAGACUCCUACGGGAGGCAGCAGUGGGGAAUAUUGCACAAUGGGCGCAAGCCUGAUGCAGCGACGCCGCGUGAGGGAUGACGGCCUUCGGGUUGUAAACCUCUUUCAGUAGGGAAGAAGCGAGAGUGACGGUACCUGCAGAAGAAGCGCCGGCUAACUACGUG
rnacentral:rRNA from 1 species